GGUUAAGCGACUAAGCGUACACGGUGGAUGCCCUGGCAGUCAGAGGCGAUGAAGGACGUGCUAAUCUGCGAUAAGCGUCGGUAAGGUGAUAUGAACCGUUAUAACCGGCGAUUUCCGAAUGGGGAAACCCAGUGUGAUUCGUCACACUAUCAUUAACUGAAUCCAUAGGUUAAUGAGGCGAACCGGGGGAACUGAAACAUCUAAGUACCCCGAGGAAAAGAAAUCAACCGAGAUUCCCCCAGUAGCGGCGAGCGAACGGGGAGCAGCCCAGAGCCUGAAUCAGUGUGUGUGUUAGUGGAAGCGUCUGGAAAGGCGCGCGAUACAGGGUGACAGCCCCGUACACAAAAAUGCACAUACUGUGAGCUCGAUGAGUAGGGCGGGACACGUGGUAUCCUGUCUGAAUAUGGGGGGACCAUCCUCCAAGGCUAAAUACUCCUGACUGACCGAUAGUGAACCAGUACCGUGAGGGAAAGGCGAAAAGAACCCCGGCGAGGGGAGUGAAAAAGAACCUGAAACCGUGUACGUACAAGCAGUGGGAGCCUCUUUAUGGGGUGACUGCGUACCUUUUGUAUAAUGGGUCAGCGACUUAUAUUCUGUAGCAAGGUUAACCGAAUAGGGGAGCCGAAGGAAACCGAGUCUUAACUGGGCGUUAAGUUGCAGGGUAUAGACCCGAAACCCGGUGAUCUAGCCAUGGGCAGGUUGAAGGUUGGGUAACACUAACUGGAGGACCGAACCGACUAAUGUUGAAAAAUUAGCGGAUGACUUGUGGCUGGGGGUGAAAGGCCAAUCAAACCGGGAGAUAGCUGGUUCUCCCCGAAAGCUAUUUAGGUAGCGCCUCGUGAAUUCAUCUCCGGGGGUAGAGCACUGUUUCGGCAAGGGGGUCAUCCCGACUUACCAACCCGAUGCAAACUGCGAAUACCGGAGAAUGUUAUCACGGGAGACACACGGCGGGUGCUAACGUCCGUCGUGAAGAGGGAAACAACCCAGACCGCCAGCUAAGGUCCCAAAGUCAUGGUUAAGUGGGAAACGAUGUGGGAAGGCCCAGACAGCCAGGAUGUUGGCUUAGAAGCAGCCAUCAUUUAAAGAAAGCGUAAUAGCUCACUGGUCGAGUCGGCCUGCGCGGAAGAUGUAACGGGGCUAAACCAUGCACCGAAGCUGCGGCAGCGACACUAUGUGUUGUUGGGUAGGGGAGCGUUCUGUAAGCCUGUGAAGGUGUACUGUGAGGUAUGCUGGAGGUAUCAGAAGUGCGAAUGCUGACAUAAGUAACGAUAAAGCGGGUGAAAAGCCCGCUCGCCGGAAGACCAAGGGUUCCUGUCCAACGUUAAUCGGGGCAGGGUGAGUCGACCCCUAAGGCGAGGCCGAAAGGCGUAGUCGAUGGGAAACAGGUUAAUAUUCCUGUACUUGGUGUUACUGCGAAGGGGGGACGGAGAAGGCUAUGUUGGCCGGGCGACGGUUGUCCCGGUUUAAGCGUGUAGGCUGGUUUUCCAGGCAAAUCCGGAAAAUCAAGGCUGAGGCGUGAUGACGAGGCACUACGGUGCUGAAGCAACAAAUGCCCUGCUUCCAGGAAAAGCCUCUAAGCAUCAGGUAACAUCAAAUCGUACCCCAAACCGACACAGGUGGUCAGGUAGAGAAUACCAAGGCGCUUGAGAGAACUCGGGUGAAGGAACUAGGCAAAAUGGUGCCGUAACUUCGGGAGAAGGCACGCUGAUAUGUAGGUGAAGUCCCUCGCGGAUGGAGCUGAAAUCAGUCGAAGAUACCAGCUGGCUGCAACUGUUUAUUAAAAACACAGCACUGUGCAAACACGAAAGUGGACGUAUACGGUGUGACGCCUGCCCGGUGCCGGAAGGUUAAUUGAUGGGGUCAGCGCAAGCGAAGCUCUUGAUCGAAGCCCCGGUAAACGGCGGCCGUAACUAUAACGGUCCUAAGGUAGCGAAAUUCCUUGUCGGGUAAGUUCCGACCUGCACGAAUGGCGUAAUGAUGGCCAGGCUGUCUCCACCCGAGACUCAGUGAAAUUGAACUCGCUGUGAAGAUGCAGUGUACCCGCGGCAAGACGGAAAGACCCCGUGAACCUUUACUAUAGCUUGACACUGAACAUUGAGCCUUGAUGUGUAGGAUAGGUGGGAGGCUUUGAAGUGUGGACGCCAGUCUGCAUGGAGCCGACCUUGAAAUACCACCCUUUAAUGUUUGAUGUUCUAACGUUGGCCCCUGAUCGGGGUUGCGGACAGUGUCUGGUGGGUAGUUUGACUGGGGCGGUCUCCUCCUAAAGAGUAACGGAGGAGCACGAAGGUUGGCUAAUCCUGGUCGGACAUCAGGAGGUUAGUGCAAUGGCAUAAGCCAGCUUGACUGCGAGCGUGACGGCGCGAGCAGGUGCGAAAGCAGGUCAUAGUGAUCCGGUGGUUCUGAAUGGAAGGGCCAUCGCUCAACGGAUAAAAGGUACUCCGGGGAUAACAGGCUGAUACCGCCCAAGAGUUCAUAUCGACGGCGGUGUUUGGCACCUCGAUGUCGGCUCAUCACAUCCUGGGGCUGAAGUAGGUCCCAAGGGUAUGGCUGUUCGCCAUUUAAAGUGGUACGCGAGCUGGGUUUAGAACGUCGUGAGACAGUUCGGUCCCUAUCUGCCGUGGGCGCUGGAGAACUGAGGGGGGCUGCUCCUAGUACGAGAGGACCGGAGUGGACGCAUCACUGGUGUUCGGGUUGUCAUGCCAAUGGCACUGCCCGGUAGCUAAAUGCGGAAGAGAUAAGUGCUGAAAGCAUCUAAGCACGAAACUUGCCCCGAGAUGAGUUCUCCCUGACUCCUUGAGAGUCCUGAAGGAACGUUGAAGACGACGACGUUGAUAGGCCGGGUGUGUAAGCGCAGCGAUGCGUUGAGCUAACCGGUACUAAUGAACCGUGAGGCUUAACCUU
rnacentral:rRNA from 1 species